rnacentral:lncRNA from 13 species
AUCAUGCGUACGGCUAAACAAGACGAUCUUCGCCAAGUCGAGGUCGAAGUCGACUUAAGCAACGGUUUUUGGAGGUUAAGUGAGGGAACAGACGGUGUUUCAAAUGAUUGCGACAAACGUCGCUGAAUGUAACAUAGCAUUUAUCUUGAACGCCUAAUUACUUAUAUAAAAGAUAGACAAAACACCGGCCAAUUGGAAACUAAUGGUACUGGGAGCUAUUUUAUUGGCAUCUUCAAUUCAAGACGCUCAGGCAGUGUGGAAUGUGGAUUAUUGUCGCACACUGAGAGACAUCACCGUGGAAGACACCUAAAAACAACAUAUUAUUGCUAGCCAUUAUAAACGGUAGUACAGGUUUCUUAUCUUUCAAUUUGAACGAUACCGGCCUAAGUUAAUGAUUAUGGCUAUUAUAAACCAACUUUUAUUCUUUCUAUUUUACAUCUAACUGUUGCAAACUUUAAUUAGCAUUUUGUUUCUUUACUGAAACCUUGUAUAUUCACAGAUAAGAGUUCUACAAAAACUGCUUUUACUGUUUUGAUAAUGGAUUUGGAUAAUCUGAGAGAUUUAGCGAUAGCUGAAUUAAAUUUUUCAUCUGACGAAGAAGAUGAAGACGACGAAAUAGCGAUACGUGUUCCUAAGCGAUACUUCCGUGAUUAUCGAAAUCCGUUUGAUUUCUAUAGUGAAUCAGAAUUUAAAAGAAGGUUCCGUUUUUGUAAAAAUUCCGUCAUGUUUGGCAUUUUACCUCUGGUGGAGGAAGGACUUGCUAAAAUCAAUAAUCGAGGCUUGCCAAUACCGCCUGUACCACCUUCUCCAAUUAUUAAUUUG